UAUUAGAUCUAUUCUGUGCCAUGAGUCUUACUGUCAAAAAAAUUAUAUAAGCAACGCCUGAUGAUUAUAGGUAACUCAUAUUAAGAACUUUGUUUUAGCAGCACAAUUCGGAUAAAUUUGCAGUUUUGCACCAAUGAAAAAGGUAUUACAUACCAGAUACAAGAUAGAAGCCAGGCUAAACAUUGUGAUCCUACAGCAGAUAUGCCAAGUGCUUCCUCAUGAAAUGGAUAGUAGUGUCGCUGAUGAAAAAAGUAGAUCGGCCAAUCUAGGUAGCACAAGUGGUCUCCAUCAGAAAGUAAACUGCCUAAUGCCAUCUUCCGAGAAGGCUGGACAUGCAAAAAUUGACAAGAAAGUAGUGUUGGACAGUUCUCUCUGCAACAAUGAAUAAAUUCAUUUUAUUACUGUAUAACCAUGGUGGCAAUCUUUUUUGGAUAACAAGAAACAAUUUGCUCAAAUAAUCUCAGCAGAGAUAACAUUGCGGUCUAUCAGGAAAAAAAGUUAGCUAUUUAAUUAAAUAGAAAACUCUGUCACUCAUUGCAACAAAUGCUAAACAAUUAGACUAACUGACAGAAAAGUAUAUAUAGAGUAGUUACAUUUCUUUAUUCCAAAAACAGAUGAUGGAUGUUAAUCGUACAAGAACACGAGGAUGACAAACAUAAAUUGAUCACAUAUAUUAUCACCAUGGGUCAAUUUAAUUGGUGGUAAUUUUUCUUUGCGAUGGAAACAAAGUGGAAUCAAAUGAUUCAAACAACCAAAAGAAAGGGAACAAAGGAUGCUUACUGAGCUGAAUGAGUCAGGGUGCUCUACUACUGGAUUGAAAGUAAUAAUAGGUACAUCCAGCGACUCAGUGGCAGAUGUUAAUC
rnacentral:lncRNA from 1 species